UACAGAGGUCCCAAGCGUUGUUCGGAUUCACUGGGCGUAAAGGGUGCGUAGGUGGUGAGGUAAGUCGGAUGUGAAAUCUCCGGGCUCAACCCGGAAAUGGCAUUGGAAACUACCUUGCUAGAGGAUUUGAGGGGGGAUUGGAAUACUUGGUGUAGCAGUGAAAUGCGUAGAUAUCAAGUGGAACACCAGUGGCGAAGGCGAGUCCCUGGACAACUCCUGACACUGAGGCACGAAAGCUAGGGGAGCAAACAGG
rnacentral:rRNA from 1 species